CGUUUGAUGGGCGGGUGAAAUCCAUCGAGGGAGGAGAAAUUUGUAUGGGCAGGUGAAAUUUCACCCGUCCAAUUGAAAUCCCGUCAAACGGGGUGGAAUUCCACCCGUUUAACCCAAAAGGGAGCGGGUGGAAUUCCACCCGCUCGUUGUUUCGGGCGCUCGACCUUCCUCCUCAGCGCACGACCUGCUUCGGCAGCUCACAUCGCACCGCAGCUCCUCCUCCCUCGAGCCUUCUCACAUCGCACCAGAGUGGAAGGAGGUCGCAUCAUCGCCGUUGCCUCUUCGCUCCACCGCUGAGACCGUCGCCUCUGCGCCGUCACGUCUCCGCUCCACCGCCGGGACAGUCUGCCACUGUAGUUGAGGUGCAUAGGCGUCUGAUUUGGGCGUUUGAUGCCCUAAGUUGUGGCUCAUUUUCUGUCUUUUGAUUUUUUUAGCUCCUGCUGCUUAUCAGUGUAGAAAUACUAAAUUCACUGUUUUUUUAUUUCGGACAUCA